UUCGCUAUUAAAAUAUUUUUCCCCAAUACUGAAGAAUCUUAAACCAGCAACCCUAACAGAGAUUGCGAAGAUUUUCAAAGUAGGGCACCUCGAUUUCUCAAAUCUGUGGUGUGGCGAAUAUCCGUGUUCCUCCUGCUUAACUAGCCUGUUUGAAGGCACAGUUCAUUCUCGAGCAAUUCGUCACCUCCUGGGGGUCUUCUCUUCCGGUCUACAGGAGAGUGUGACUUCAGAAAGAACUUCGGAUUGGCCAAGGCCAUUAAAGCUGGUGAGUGACUUGGAAGUCAUUUAGAAAGGAACAGACCUUCAACCUCAAGCCUUUGCGGGCACUGGGAAAGUGUCUUCCAAAUCAAUCUGGCUUGCAGGCGGCAGGACCAACUCUGACCUGGCUUAUCUUGUACCCAUCCUAAAUACCCCAAACUCAAGAGGUAGCCAGGGCCCCUCAAUACUGGUAUUACCAAGGCAGGUCUGAUUCUAUUUUAUUCUAAAGACAGAGUUGGAGAUGGGCUACCAUUGGUGUUGACUGAGAUGUCAAGCAGUCACCUGAAAGGUUCACAGAUGUGGCUAGUCUUGCUAGCCAGCUCGCUCUGUGGAAGUUCUAGGGAUCUGACUGCAGCCCUCAUGCUUGGGAGUCAAACACUUUAACCACUGCACAAGUUUAUGUAACAGGAUUGAAAUAUCAGAAUUAGAGAAAUGAAUGAAAGAUUAGAGUGGGAGACAGUGCUUGCUGCCAAGCUUGAUGACCUAAAUUGAAUCCUGGAACCUACAGGACAGAAAGAGAGAGCUGACUCCUGAAAGAUGUCCUCAGAUCUUCACAUAUGCACAGUGGCACCUCUCCAACCAUGCACAUAGUAUAUUAAAAUUAUUUUUUUUAAAA
rnacentral:lncRNA from 1 species